rnacentral:rRNA from 1 species
CCUACGGGGGGCAGCAGUGGGGAAUAUUGGACAAUGGGGGGAACCCUGAUCCAGCCAUGCCGCGUGUGUGAAGAAGGCCCUCGGGUUGUAAAGCACUUUCAGUGAGGAAGAACGCCUGGUGGUUAAUACCCAUCAGGAAAGACAUCACUCACAGAAGAAGCACCGGCUAACUCCGUGCCAGCAGCCGCGGUAAUACGGAGGGUGCGAGCGUUAAUCGGAAUUACUGGGCGUAAAGCGCGCGUAGGUGGCUUGAUAAGCCGGUUGUGAAAGCCCCGGGCUCAACCUGGGAACGGCAUCCGGAACUGUCAAGCUAGAGGGCAGGAGAGGAAGGUAGAAUUCCCGGUGUAGCGGUGAAAUGCGUAGAGAUCGGGAGGAAUACCAGUGGCGAAGGCGGCCUUCUGGACUGACACUGACACUGAGGUGCGAAAGCGUGGGUAGCAAACAGGAUUAGAUACCCUUGUAGUC